ACUUGAAUAGCUUAUAAAGAGCUUAACAUUGAAGAUGUUAUGGAGAUAAAUAUUUAUCUUUAAGUA
rnacentral:tRNA from 1 species